rnacentral:tRNA from 1 species
AGAAAGAUAAGCUAACAAAGCUACUGGGUUCAUACCCCAUUUAUAGGGGUUCAACCCCCUUCUCUCUA